rnacentral:lncRNA from 1 species
GGAAGAACAAGGAAGUAACAGCAGAUGCAAGCUGGGUUCUUGUAGAAUGGAUUCUGAUUGCUGCUGCAAUGGUCUGAGAAUAUUGGACUCUUGCUUCUUCACUCUUCUAAAGUGGACUCCGACAGUGAUUCUUCGGAAGCCUUUGACUAGGGUAGCACAGUUGAGCUCUCUUGUUCUGGGGCCUCAGCCUCUUGGAUUAUGCAGCUCCUGGUUCUAGCUCUCCAGCCUGCAGAUGGCCAUUAUGAACUAUCCAGCUUCUUGUCACAUAAGCCAACCUAAUAAGUCCCCUUUUUAUAAUUAUACUUCCUGUGGAUUCUGUUUCUCUAGAAAACCCUAAUACCAAGAGUGACAUUGUUUUAGCUCAAUAGAAGACAGCUGGAUUCUCAUGUGCUUAUAUGUCUAAUGAUACGUUUUUGUGUGUAUGAUGAAAAUUCAGUCUCUCAGAGGUAUACAUUUGGCAAAGGAAGAAUUUUUAGAUAAUUGUAGGUAUUAUUUCUUGAUGUAAUGCCAAAACUUGACAAGUGGUAGUUUCUUAAAGACAUUGGAGAGCUGGGAGCUAUGGCACAUGCCUGUAAUCCCAGCAGCUGGGGAGGCUGAGGCAGGAAGAUCAUGAGUUCAAAGCCAGCUUCAGCAAAUUAAUG